UACAUUUUCACAAGUGCGGGCUCAUUUUAAAAAUUGGCAGCACUUAAGUUCAAGUGCGGGUUUUAAACCUCAAGUGCGGGCUCAUCUUACAAAACCCGCACAUAAGAUUUCUAAAAUAUUUCCAAAAAAAAAAGAAAAAUCCUAAAAUCAUAACAGGCCUCCGUUUUCUCUCUCCCAGAUUCUUAUCCCUCUUCCUCUUCACCUUCGUUUUCUCUCUCCUUUGUCGUCGCCGUCGCUUCUUCACCGCCGGAGAUCAUCGCCGAACCUCUCCCUAGUCGCCAAUGCUCUUCUCUCUCUUCCUCUUUUUUCGUUGCUGAUCUUCUCCUUCCCUCUCUUUCUAGUUGAUGUUGGUCUUCCUUUGGUGCUCUCCUCCUCCUCAUUUGCUUCUCUCACAGGCAGAGAUGAAGAAUGGACCAGAAGCUUCGAGUCGCCACCGCCUCCGCGCUCUGCUCUCCCCUUAUCGCUUAUAGGACAAAACAUUAGAAAGCUUAUCAAAGAUGGAUUUAUCAUUAAGAAGCCAUCAAACAUCCAUUCCCGUUCCCGUGCUCGCCGCAUGAAUGAAGAAAAGAGAAAUGGGCGUCACUCUGGCUAUGGUGUGGGGAAACAUGAUGAGUACAAUAGAAAUUAAAGGCAAAGAACUUCUGGAUACAAAUGUUUUAACCCGUGCUGACCUCUAUGAAUGGUUGAAAGCAAAGAACAACGAUGAAGCACCCAUUAUCGGUGUUGGUCUUCAUAGUUAUUCAGCUUUGUAUAC